rnacentral:lncRNA from 10 species
CCUCCUUUCAAGAACUUUCUGACCCUGGAUCCAGUCUAAAUGUUGGUUAUAAACUCACCUGACAUCCACAGGGCCCUUCCAAAAUACUGUCAAGGCUGACUGCUGGUGCCUGGAACCUGCACACCCUCCUGGGACUCUGCAUCUCUGCUGGGGCUGGUUUCUCCUCUGAGCCACCUUAAGGAAUCCCACCCUGACCCGCAAUACCUGCCUGGCAGAGUUGUGAGAAUUAAAUGAGAUGAUGAAUACAUCUGCUCUCAGCACCACACCACACCUGUGGCAGUCCUCAGAGAGAAGAAUCACAGCUUUCAUUCAUUGAGAGCUCACUAAGUGCCAGAACCAUAGAGCUCAAAGCUUCUCAGCUCAACGGAGAACUCAGCACUUCUUGGACUGAUAAAUAGAGCAGCUUUAAAAUGCUUAGAACUGAAGACAGACCAACUGUGGC